ACAGACCUUCACUAAAAUGAUAAUUAAUCUCUCUUUGUAACUCCAAAUUUUGUGGAGUUUGAUUCUGUGGAAAACUAACUCGAUUUCGGUCAUUUCGGUACCAGUUUGGUGAAUUAUGGAUCCAAAUGGAAUUCUGUACGAAGUUUUGAAGUUGUGACUCGAAAGCAGAUUUUGUGCAGAAUAUUUGGGGGACAUACCUUCACUAAAAUGGUAAUUAAUCUCUCUUUGUAACUCCAAAUUUAGUGGGGUUUGAUUCUGUGGAAAGAUAACUCGAUAACAGUCAUUUUGAUAUCCGUUUGGUGAAUUAUUGAUUCAAAUUGAGUUGUGUGCGAAGCUUUGAAGUUGUGACUCGAAAGCAGAUUUUGUGCAGAAUUUUGGGGGACAUACCUUCACUAAAACGGUAAUUAAUCUCUCUUUGUAACUCCAAAUUUUGUGGGGUUUGAUUCUGUGGAAAGAUAACUCGAUCACGGUCAUUUCGAUAUCUGUUUGGUGAAUUAUUGAUUCAAAUUGAGUUGUGUGCGAAACUUUGAAGUUGUGAAUUGAAAGCAGAAUUUUAGGGGGGGCAAAAUCCAAAAAAUUAUAAAACAGAGGGGGUAAAAGUCCGCGUUUUAAAACAGGGGGGUAAAAUUCCGAUUUAAUCAAAACAGGGGGGCAAAACUGCAUUUAAGCCUUU
rnacentral:lncRNA from 1 species